CCUACGGGUGGCAGCAGUGAGGAAUAUUGGUCAAUGGACGCAAGUCUGAACCAGCCAUGCCGCGUGCAGGAUGACGGCUCUAUGAGUUGUAAACUGCUUUUGUACGAGGGUAAACCCCGAUACGUGUAUCGGGUUGAAAGUAUCGUACGAAUAAGGAUCGGCUAACUCCGUGCCAGCAGCCGCGGUAAUACGGAGGAGCCGAGCGUUAUACGGAUUUAUUGGGUUUUAAGGGUGCGUAGGCGGUUUUGUAAGUUAGAGGUGAAAGGUCGGGGCUCAACCCCGAAACUGCCUCUAAUACUGUUGGACUAGAGUGUAGUUGCGGUAGGCGGAAUGUAUGGUGUAGCGGUGAAAUGCUUAGAUAUCAUACAGAACACCGAUUGCGAAGGCAGCUUACCAAACUAUAUCUGACGUUGAGGCACGAAAGCGUGGGUAGCAAACAGGAUUAGAUACCCCAGUAGUC
rnacentral:rRNA from 1 species